rnacentral:rRNA from 1 species
UUAUUCGGAAUCACUGGGCUUAAAGCGCGUGUAGGCGGCCAGAUAAGUCCGCUGUGAAAUCUCGAGGCUCAACUUCGAGCUGUCGGUGGAAACUGUCUGGCUAGAGUCCGGAAGAGGAGAAUGGAAUUCCUGGUGUAGCGGUGAAAUGCGCAGAUAUCAGGAAGAACACCCGUGGCGAAGGCGGUUCUCUGGGACGGUACUGACGCUGAGACGCGAAAGCGUGGGGAGCGAACAGG